rnacentral:misc_RNA from 1 species
GAUGAAGAACGCAGCGAAAUGCGAUACGUAAUGUGAAUUGCAGAAAUCAGUGAAUCAUCGAGUCUUUGAACGCACAUUGCGCCCCCUGGUAUUCCGGGGGGCAUGGCUGUCCGAGCGUCAUUGCUGCCCUCAAGCACGGCUUGUGUGUUGGGCCUCCGUCCUCCUCCCGGGGGACGGGCCCGAAAGGCAGCGGCGGCACCGCGUCCGGUCCUCGAGCGUAUGGGGCUUCGUCACCCGCUCUUGUAGGCCCGGCCGGCGCUUGCCGACACAUCAAUCUUUUUUCCAGGUUGACCUCGGAUCAGGUAGGGAUACCCGCUGAACUUAAGCAUAUCAAUAAGCGGAGGA